rnacentral:rRNA from 1 species
AUUGAACGCUGGCGGCAGGCCUAACACAUGCAAGUCGAGCGGGGUUUUCGGACCUAGCGGCGGACGGGUGAGUAAUGCGUAGGAAGCUGCCCGAUAGAGGGGGAUACCAGUUGGAAACGACUGUUAAUACCGCAUAAUGUCUACGGACCAAAGUGUGGGACCUUCGGGCCACAUGCUAUCGGAUGCGCCUACGUGGGAUUAGCUAGUUGGUGAGGUAAUGGCUCACCAAGGCGACGAUCUCUAGCUGGUUUGAGAGGAUGAUCAGCCACACUGGAACUGAGACACGGUCCAGACUCCUACGGGAGGCAGCAGUGGGGAAUAUUGGACAAUGGGCGAAAGCCUGAUCCAGCCAUGCCGCGUGUGUGAAGAAGGCCUUCGGGUUGUAAAGCACUUUCAGCGAGGAGGAAGGGGUUGUAGUUAAUAGCUGCAACCUUUGACGUUACUCGCAGAAGAAGCCCGGCUAACUCUGUGCCAGCCGCCGCGGUAAUAC